rnacentral:rRNA from 1 species
ACGGUCCUAAGGUAGCGAAAUUCCUUGUCGGGUAAGUUCCGACCUGCACGAAUGGCAUAAUGAUGGCCAGGCUGUCUCCACCCGAGACUCAGUGAAAUUGAAAUCGCCGUGAAGAUGCGGUGUACCCGCGGCUAGACGGAAAGACCCCGUGAACCUUUACUAUAGCUUGACACUGAACAUUGAAUUUUGAUGUGUAGGAUAGGUGGGAGACUUUGAAGUAGUCACGCCAGUGAUUAUGGAGUCGUCCUUGAAAUACCACCCUUUAACGUUUGAUGUUCUAACGAAGAUUACGAAACGUGGUCUCGGACAGUGUCUGGUGGGUAGUUUGACUGGGGCGGUCUCCUCCCAAAGAGUAACGGAGGAGCACGAAGGUUUGCUAAUCACGGUCGGACAUCGUGAGGUUAGUGCAAUGGUAUAAGCAAGCUUAACUGCGAGACAGACAAGUCGAGCAGGUACGAAAGUAGGUCAUAGUGAUCCGGUGGUUCUGAAUGGAAGGGCCAUCGCUCAACGGAUAAAAGGUACUCCGGGGAUAACAGGCUGAUACCGCCCAAGAGUUCAUAUCGACGGCGGUGUUUGGCACCUCGAUGUCGGCUCAUCACAUCCUGGGGCUGAAGUAGGUCCCAAGGGUAUGGCUGUUCGCCAUUUAAAGUGGUACGCGAGCUGGGUUUAGAACGUCGUGAGACAGUUCGGUCCCUAUCUGCCGUGGGCGUUGGAGAAUUGGUUGGGGCUGCUCCUAGUACGAGAGGACCGGAGUGGACGCACCACUGGUGUUCCGGUUGUGUCGCCAGACGCAUUGCCGGGUAGCUAAGUGCGGAAGAGAUAAGUGCUGAAAGCAUCUAAGCACGAAACUUGCCAAGAGAUGAGUUCUCCCAGAUUAUGAAUCUGUAAGGGUUGUUUAAGACUAAGACGUAGAUAGGCAGGGUGUGUAAGUGAUGUGAGUCAUUGAGCUAACCUGUACUAAUUGCCCGAGAGGCUUAACUAU